AGUUCAGUGGUAGAACAUUGUCUGGCAUGCAAGAGUCCUGGGUUCAAUCCCCAG
rnacentral:tRNA from 1 species